rnacentral:rRNA from 1 species
AUGUACAACUACAAAAUGUCCCAAGUCAAAGAAUGUGGGAUUGGGUUGUACAAGUUGCUUACCUGCCUGUGUGUACUUUCAACAUUGUUUGAGGUGUUGAAUGAUGUGUUUACUUCCUUCAAAACAAAAAUGAUGUGUUUACUUUGGGUGGAAACCUCCUCUCAGUGGCAUUGCUUCCGCAGAUGGAACAUCGUAUGCAUCAACGAUUUUCGAGUUUCUGGCAGCAAUGAAUCUCCGCUUGCUGUCUCCGAUCACUGCACCCGUAGUGCCCUGGAGAUUGUCCUCAUCGGUCGAAAGAGGCAUCAACGUUUACUUUGA